rnacentral:rRNA from 1 species
UACGAAGGGUGCAAGCGUUACCCGGAAUUACUGGGCGUAAAGCGUGCGUAGGUGGUUUGUUAAGUCUGAUGUGAAAGCCCUGGGCUCAACCUGGGAAUUGCAUUGGAUACUGGCAGGCUAGAGUGCGGUAGAGGAUGGCGGAAUUCCCGGUGUAGCAGUGAAAUGCGUAGAGAUCGGGAGGAACAUCUGUGGCGAAGGCGGCCAUCUGGACCAGCACUGACACUGAGGCACGAAAGCGUGGGGAGCAAACAGG